rnacentral:rRNA from 1 species
UACGGAGGGAGCUAGCGUUGUUCGGAAUUACUGGGCGUAAAGCGCGCGUAGGCGGCUUUGUAAGUUAGAGGUGAAAGCCCGGGGCUCAACCCCGGAACUGCCUUUAAAACUGCAUCGCUUGAAUCCAGGAGAGGUGAGUGGAAUUCCGAGUGUAGAGGUGAAAUUCGUAGAGAUUGGAAAGAACACCGAUGGCGAAGGCACUUUACUGGGCUAUUACUAACACUCAGAGACGAAAGCUAGGGUAGCAAAUGGG